UCUCCGUUGGUGAACCAGCGGAGGGAUCAUUAUCGAGUUUAUAACUCCCAAACCCUAUGUGAACUUACCACUUGUUGCUUCGGCGCGCGCUUCGGUGCCGCCGAGGACACUUAAACUCCUUGUUUUUAUAAGCAUUUCUGAGUGGCCGAAAGGCAAAAUACAAAUGAAUCAAAACUUUCAACAACGGAUCUCUUGGUUCUG
rnacentral:misc_RNA from 1 species